UACGUAGGGUGCGAGCGUUAAUCGGAAUUACUGGGCGUAAAGUGUGCGCAGGCGGUUGAGCAAGUCGAGUGUGAAAGCCCCGGGCUUAACUUGGGAAUUGCGCUCGAAACUACUUUGCUGGAGUGUGGCAGAGGAAGGUGGAAUUCCACGUGUAGCGGUGAAAUGCGUAGAGAUGUGGAGGAACACCAAUGGCGAAGGCAGCCUUCUGGGCCAACACUGACGCUCAUGCACGAAAGCGUGGGGAGCAAACAGG
rnacentral:rRNA from 1 species